CCAUUUUCUAAUAUUUUUUAAGGUAUCAUAUUAAAAAAAAUCGUUCUGUUUCAUUCUUUCAGUGAAUGGUUCAUCGCCAGCUUCCGACAGUCCUUUACCAAGCUAAAGCACAAGAAGAAGAUUUCUUCAUCCGUACUCACUCGCCAUAUCAUUUUCAACGUUUUUAACAAUAUAAGUUAAGACAUUAUAGUCAGUUUUAUAUAGCUCAACUCUUACAGCAGAUCGCUGCAUAUAGUUCGUGCACCCGUAUAUGACCUCACGAGCUUGUGCACUUUACCGUGUGUAAUAUGGCAAAGUAAGGCAUGCAAAUUGUUUAUGUAAUAGCACGCGAUGGCAAUUUCUAGAUUGCACAGUCUUCAGUAUAGGUUCUCACUUGUUUCCAUCUACCAAACUCACGUUACGUCAUUUGAUCAAUUUCUAAAGCUGUUUCUUUUUGGAUUUUUUUUUAUUAAUUUGGUUAGAGUUUGACUUGGUUAGAGUUUGAGGGUAGGGUUUGACUUAGUUACAUAGCCAUUUACAGGUAAACUACGUGAAGCGUUCCUCUUUUGAGUUUCUAAAUUGAUUGCAAUUUUCCUCAUUCCUUUUGCAAUUUAAAGGAACAGGACUGCAUUGCAAAUUCCCUUAAGGGAUUCGCAAAGAGUUUUUCAAAUUUGCAAAGCUAAUGAGGAAAAUUCCAAAUGAGUUACAAAGACAAAAGAGGAACGCUUCACGUAGUUUACCUGUAACAUCUCUUCCGAAAAUGACAUCACAUCAGUUUGGUGGAUGGAAAAUAGUGCUGACCUCUUAGUACUGUAAUAUAGAAGUUCAGAUUUGACUUCUGCUACUAUUAAGAGACCAUCAACCAAUCAGAUGCGUUUGAUAUAUUCGAUUUUUUUAUAUUUUUUUUGUCAGUCAAAUCUAAACCUUUAUGUUACAUGAAUGAUCAAAAGCUUUACCGACGAAUUGGGAAUGAAUGUUAUAUUUUAGGAUUACAAUAUGUAAGCUGAUUCAUGGGAUGUAGCACAAUGUCGAGUGCCAGAUUAUUAAUACGCGAUCUUUAGCAGUAGUUUUUACCAAACAUUUACCGAAUUAAUAUAUUGUCUCUUGAAGGCUGGCUUCUAUUGACAUUGUAAUAUAGUAUUAUUUAUUGUGCAUAUGGGGCAGGCUUUUUGUAUCCGCUGGAAAUUCUGG